GACGAACGCUGGCGGCGUGCUUAACACAUGCAAGUCGAACGGCAAGGCCCUGCUUUUGUGGGGUGCUCGAGUGGCGAACGGGUGAGUAACACGUGAGUAACCUGCCCUUGACUUUGGGAUAACUUCAGGAAACUGGGGCUAAUACCGGAUAGGAGCUCCUGCUGCAUGGUGGGGGUCGGAAAGUUUCGGCGGUUGGGGAUGGACUCGCGGCUUAUCAGCUUGUUGGUGGGGUAGUGGCUUACCAAGGCUUUGACGGGUAGCCGGCCUGAGAGGGUGACCGGCCACAUUGGGACUGAGAUACGGCCCAGACUCCUACGGGAGGCAGCAGUGGGGAAUAUUGCACAAUGGGCGGAAGCCUGAUGCAGCAACGCCGCGUGCGGGAUGACGGCCUUCGGGUUGUAAACCGCUUUCGCCUGUGACGAAGCGUGAGUGACGGUAAUGGGUAAAGAAGCACCGGCUAACUACGUG
rnacentral:rRNA from 1 species